rnacentral:lncRNA from 10 species
AGUUCCGGGUGGGCGUGGGCUUGGCGGGCCCUGCACUCGGAGCAGCUGGCCAGCCCUGCCAGUCCUGGGCAAUGAGGGGCUUAGCACCCGGGCCAAAGGCUGCGGAGGGUGUACUCGGUCCCCCAGCAGUGCCAGCCCGCUGGCACUGCGCUCGAUUUCUCGCCGGGCCUUAGCUGCCUCCCCGCGGGGCAGGGCUCGGGACCUGCAGCCUGCCAUGCCUGAGCCUCCCCGCGCUCUGUGGGCUCCUGUGCGGCCCGAGCCUCCCCGACGAGCACCGCCCCCUGCUCCACGGCGCCCAGUCCCAUCGACCACCCAAAGGCUGAGGAGUGCGGGCGCGCGGCACGGGACUGGCAGGCAGCUCCACCUGUAGCCCAGGUGCGGGAUCCACUGGGGCUAGUCCAAGGUGUGGUCAACCGCAGCAGAACUAGUUGAAAUGCAGGUGACUUGGAAGAAGAGAGAGAUGGAAAUCAUUAGCUACCACUCACCCUCAGUUGCCACCAUGAAGUCUUCCAGCCCAAUGCUGAUUUUACAGACAAAAUACUUAGCCUCCCUCCCUCCUUCUUACCCACCAACCAACCAAUGUGAGAAAAUCAAGAAAUAGAUGUUUUUGGAGUCCUGAGAGAAGAGAGAGGAAAUUCCUGCUUUAUAACAGUACCCCAGUAAAGAAACAAAACCGAGAAAGAAAGAAUUUACGAUAUGUCUAGACAGAGAUGCAGCCUUUCAAAUGAUCUCCCAGCCUGAAACGUGGCAACAAAGCAUCAGAGAGCUGCCAGGACUGAAGGAGCCAUGUUUCUGGGGACAUAGGAUGUCAUCGAUAAGCAAUGACAAGAUCACUGCUGCCACACACACAUGCACACCCAGGUAAGAUCCUGGGACUCUGGCAUAAGCUGGAGAGUUGGAGGAAACACCAGGAAGGAUAGAGUCUACCUAACUUCCAGCUUCAUUCCACUGCAACAGCAAAGAUGCAUAAAAUCCAAAAUAUAAUUGAGUUGUUUCAUAAAAAAUUAAGUUAUGUUUGUAAUCAUGCUCAAAUUCCACUUAAAAUGGGGAAUUUUGUUGCCUGAUAUAAAUAAUUUUGUUGCAACAUAACAUUAUGUAAGGAAAAUAAAAUGUAGCUCCUAAUCAUUAUUCAGUGAGGUAAUGGUAACUAUUAAAAGACAAAGACACCUCGUAAUUUGAAUUGCUUCCAGCUGAGCAGUCAUCAUCUGGACAUAUGCUAUCAAAUGAUACUCCUCCCACUGAGCCAUUAUGCAUUUAAUGCCUUUAUUUAUCUGCCAAAUUUCAAGACUGAAACAAAGGUUUUAAAAUUUAAAAAUGUGCUAUUAAACCAAAUGUAAGAUAAGCUAUCCUGCCUAAUCCAAUAAAAUACAGUAUUUCAUUAUGAUUAGUAUUAAUUUUCUGUAAUUUUGUAAAUUCCCAGGCAAAUAUAAUCUUCUAAGAUAGAAAAAAAGUCUUCAUACUGUAAGAAAUUGUGCAAUAAAAUUAUUAGCAAAUAAUUCCAUUUAUUGCUGAAAGGUAUAGGCUUUGGAGUUAGAUGGACCUGGAUUUACAUCCUGGUCCUAACACAUUUUUUUAUGACCCUGGGACAUGUAUUGGAUCUCAUUAGGCCUCAGUUACUCAUAUAUUAAAUGGUAAUGGAUAUAAUUUAUAAAGUUUAGAGGAAAUAAUAAAAUUGAGUACUCAUCAUAGUGCAUGAAAUAGAGUAAGCACGAAAAGAAGUGAUUAGUUAUGAAUAUUAUAAUGUACAGUGUGAAAAUAUGUAAUUCAAAAUCUAAGCAGUUGGAAUUUUUAAAUAUUUUGAGACUUAAGAGAGUGUGAUUAUGGGACCUGAAUCAUGUAAACUGGGAGCUGUAACCUUUUCUUCUCUGAUUAUAGAUUAGCCUUUUUCCUUACCUACAUUGUUUUCUAAAAUGGUGUAAAGGACUAACAGGCACCAGGGAGGACCCCUUCCCUCUUAAUUGUUGAUCUUCACUAUAGAUGAACUUCCUUCUUUCCUAUCCCAUACAAACACUGCGUGAUUAUCACAUUGCCUAAGAUGGAAUGUUAAAUACAGAAUUUUAAACUGGAAAAAAAGAAGGAAAGCUAUAAUUAAAUUGUUGUGUAAUUAAACCAGCCUUGUAUAGAAAAUGUUAUAAUCUUACUAAAUUUCUUUGUUUUCUGCCUAUAUAAGCAAGAUCUUAACUAACUUUAACUUUUGAGCAUUGACCCCAUUCCUUUGAAGUCUCUGUUACUUGAAUGGCCAUUUUUAGGUUUUUACUUAAAUAAAUUCUUUUGAACCAAA